rnacentral:rRNA from 1 species
GAUGAACGCUGGCGGCGUGCUUAACACAUGCAAGUCGAACGAUGAAGCCCAGCUUGCUGGGUGUUUUAGUGGCGAACGGGUGAGUAACACGUGAGUAACCUGCCCUUAACUCUGGGAUAAGCCUGGGAAACUGGGUCUAAUACCGGAUAGGAGCGUCCACCGCAUGGUGGGUGUUGGAAAGAUUUAUCGGUUUUGGAUGGACUCUCGGCCUAUCAGCUUGUUGGUGAGGUAAUGGCUAACUAAGGCGACGACGGGUAGCCGGCCUGAGAGGGUGACCGGCCACACUGGGCCUGAGAGACGGACCAGAAUCCUACGGGAGGCAGCAGUGGGGAAUCUUGCGCAAUGGCGCCGAGCCUGAUGCAGCGACGCCGCGUGCGGGAUGACCGCUUUCGGGUUGUAAACAUCUUUCAGUAGGGAAGAAGCGAAAGUGACGGUACCUGCAGAAGAAGCCCCGGCUAACUACGUG